UACGUAGGGUGCGAGCGUUGUCCGGAAUUAUUGGGCGUAAAGGGCUCGUAGUCGGUUUGUCGCGUCGGGAGUGAAAACCUCGGGCUUAACUCGGGGCUUGCUUUCGAUACGGGCAGACUGGAGGUAUGCAGGGGAGAACGGAAUUCCUGGUGUAGCGGUGAAAUGCGCAGAUAUCAGGAGGAACACCGGUGGCGAAGGCGGUUCUCUGGGCAUUACCUGACGCUGAGGAGCGAAGGUGUGGGGAGCAAACAGG
rnacentral:rRNA from 1 species